UUCUUGCUCAGUUUUGCAGUUGGCUUGAACUAGUCAUCUGCAGUUAUUGAGGACCAGUAUGAAUUGUUAAAGCCUAUUUUCUGUUAAACAUUCCACCUCCUUGGGUGACAGUAUUUUAAUAGUAGCUAGCUGUUGUUGACAUGUGAAGGGUCCUGACUAAAAUGUUUUCCUUGCAUUGAUAUACUUAAACCUAAUUAUGGAAUGGGUGCUAUUCUCAGCUCUAUCAAGUUCAGGGAUAAAGUAAUAAAACGGCCCAGGGUCACCUUCCGUUAAGUGCCAUGAAGAGUACAUCACCCAGAGAUCAGUGAAGAAAGCAAGUGUCAUGCCAUGACUUCCACGGGAACCAGCAAGUUUGUUUUCCUUCUCCCUCAUCAGGAGGCAGGUGUGGUGCAGCAGGCAGCUGGCUGAGCUUCCCCUCUGCAGCCAACACACCUCUGAGCUGGCCUCUCUCCAGCUGCCGCCAUCCUCCCAUCUGACUGCUAAGCUUGGACCUGAUGUUGCUGUGUUGGCUGGGUCUCAAACAAGGCAUUUUGGACAGCAGGUGAUCCUGCGUGUGGACCCAUGACAGAUUCUCGGCAGCAUGUUCUGUCUUUUGUGUUCACUAGACCGAAGACCUCGUAUACUUAUGUGAUGAAGUCAAAUGUAGGAGUGAAGAAGAUACUUCAUCUGCUGCAGGCACCAUACUCACCCCUACUAAAAAUCACAGCAAUCUUCAUGGAGUUCCAGAUACAGAGAUCCACGUGGCAUGAUUUUCUCUUCCACCAGCUUUUGGCAGUCUGGUAUCAAGGUUCAGAUAAGGAUAUUUUCCUAUGUCUUGGCCUGAUCUCUCACGAACAGAAACACUGGCUGGGGCUGGGGGUGUGAUGGAGGGAGUCAGGAUGUUUCUCCUUCUGAACUACCAUCAAUGAUGGUAUCCUCACACUGCUAGGAAGAUGAGAGGCAAUUCCAGGCAUUCCAGAGAUAGGAGAAAACUCUUAACCAAAGAAACUUCUGGCAGUCCUUCAGGAAGCCUUUUAUGGCUUCAUUCAACUCUGUAGUUGUUCUGUAUCAGCCUCCGGGGUAAGGAGAUGCCCCUCAGGCCAGCCAAGGAGAGGGUGAGGUGUGCAGUACUGCCAAAUGGGCAGCAGAGGUGAUGCUGUGCCUGCGGAAACUGCCUCCACACCACCCUGUUCCCUGACCUGUAGACGUGGGCCAUAUUGCAAAGACCUGUUUAAGCCACUUUCCUGGGAUGAACUUGGUCCUUCGUAAAUUCUUCCUCAAGAUUCAGAAAAGAAGACCACCUCUAGUCUCAGGUGGCAGAAUUCUGCAUUUGAGUCAAUGUCUAGACAAAUCUCCCCUGGCCUUGGUGAACCCUGGGAACCAGCUGGGUAACUCCAACAGUUCGUGUUCCCCAGAGGUCACACUCCAGUCUGAGCAUACCUUUGCUCAUCAGAAAGUUGCACAUGGCCAUGUGAUAGAUGGUUUCCCAUCUUAUGCCACAUACACCUUGGAAACUUAUCAAAGUGUGAGAGCCAGAUCUUUUUCUUAGUGUUACACAGAUUUCAGUGCUAAAGGACUUGAUUUUGUAGCUUGGUACCUCAGCAUAGACUUAGGUGUUCCAUUUACUCACCCUUCUCUCUAAGUAAGAAUUGAAGUUUGUAAGCAAAGACAGCCAUAGGGUCCCCUCAAGAGUGAGUUCAGCCUUGUCUCUUGAGAGAAGCACUUAAUGCCCGUGCUUCUGUUAACCAGGCUCCAGUCCUACCCCUUUUUCCAUGUCUUGUACCUUCCCCAGAACCCUGCAAACUUCUGCCUGGUGUAGUCCUCUCCAAGGUACUGAUCACCUGAUCAGUGAUCCAACACAGCCUUGAACUUGGCUGUUCUCUCAGGCAUUUCUUACCAGCUUGGUGACACUCCGUAGCAAUAUCCUUCUCCAACAGUCAAAUCUCAUGGUUCCUUCCACUUUGUUCUUGAGCUGAUUUCUGUGCUGUAUCCACUGGGCCCCUGAGGCUACCUUGUACAAUCAUACUAACCUGUCAGAAGUCUCUCCUAAUGAGAAGCAGUUGUCCCCUGCUCUUAGUACUACUUGGAUCAUGGCAGGCAGGACACAUGGACACACUCAGCAGAAGGGGAAUUAAAAAUCACUGACCACAUGAUUUUUAUUAUUAUUUUUUUUUUUUUUUUUUUUUUUACUUUUUUGGUUUUUCAAGACAGGGUUUCUUUGUGUACCCCUGAAGACCAUGCUAGCCUUAAAACUCAGAUCCACCCAUCUCUGCCUCCGGAGUGCUGGGAUUAAAGUUGUGCAUCACCACUGCAUGGCUUCAAGCCACCACUGACUAUCAGAUGAAUUUGAAAUAAGAUCCUUGAUUACCUGAGUAGGUUCUUCAUAAAAUUCCUUAACUGGUAGGUAGCAGAAGAGUUAGUGUAGAAGAGGCUUGGAAGACACCACAGUCACUGGGGAAGGAAAAGGCCACAAGCCAAGAACACAGGCAGCCUUCAGAAGCCAUGCAGCAUUUCUUUCCACCAAGUGCCCACAAAAGAACUUCGUCAUGGCAACACCUUGACCUAGCCCAGAGAAGCCAGUGAGUUCUGACCAACAGCUGUCAGUAAGACCACAGGAAGUCACUGCUUGAAAUUUGUUACAGCAACAAGGACCAGGAAUGACUGACAGACAAGCAUCCUGUUUUUCACUUCCUGAAAGUCUCUUCACACAUCCUUCCCAACACCAACAGGUGCUGUUUGUGGAGGUGGAUUCCGAGACUGGCCUGUCAGUAACACUUCUGGUCAGCAGAUUAUUUCAGGAGCCCUGUGCUGUGUGUGCCUAAUGUGAGCUAAGCCGAGGUUAACACAGAAGCACUGGGAAUUCUCUAGGUCAAUGUAAAGCACUAAUGCUAUUCAACGUGGGCAGCUUUGAGGCAAGAGAAUAACUUACAAAGAAUUAUUUGUGAAUUUGCCAGUUAUUUUUCUAAGAAUUAACACCAUAAUGAAAGUGACAUAAGAUAAUUAUAGUGGAAAGUUUUGUGAAAUAAAGGCCACUUGGGAGUAUCUGAACAGCAGCAUAGUGCAUUCUGGGUUCUGGCAUGUUUGUUCACAGCAGAGGAAAGGCAUUCUUUAAUACCUGGUUUUUGUUUUUGAGACUAGGGCUCAUAUAUCCCAGAUUAGCUUCAAACAUGUAACUGGGGACCUUGAACAGAUCCAAUCCUGUCUCUACCUCCUAACUACUGGGAUUAUGGGUCUGUGUCAUGGCACUGUUUUAUAUGGGGCCUUGUGUCUGCCAGGCAAGCAUUCCACUAACUGAGCCAUAUCCUUAGCCUCAGCUAUUCAGUUUUGGUUUUGUUUUUAAGAAAUUUUAUUCAGUUCCUUGGGCUGGAGGGUACUGUCUUCAGAUUGGUCCCAAAUGUAUGUACAGCAAUAACCUUGGUCUUAAACUAAUAAAGACAUGUACACAUAAAUAUAUAUGACUUUAACUUCUUUCUGAGGUUAGUCAUGUAUUGUGUUUCAGAAUGAAGAUAAAUAAAAUCGAUACCUAAAGCAC
rnacentral:lncRNA from 1 species